GAUGAACGCUGGCGGCGUGCCUAAUACAUGCAAGUCGAGCGAACAGAUGAGGAGCUUGCUCCUCUGACGUUAGCGGCGGACGGGUGAGUAACACGUGGAUAACCUACCUAUAAGACUGGGAUAACUUCGGGAAACCGGAGCUAAUACCGGAUAAUACAUUGAACCGCAUGGUUCAAUAGUGAAAGACGGUUUUGCUGUCACUUAUAGAUGGAUCCGCGCCGCAUUAGCUAGUUGGUAAGGUAACGGCUUACCAAGGCAACGAUGCGUAGCCGACCUGAGAGGGUGAUCGGCCACACUGGAACUGAGACACGGUCCAGACUCCUACGGGAGGCAGCAGUAGGGAAUCUUCCGCAAAGGGCGAAAGCCUGACGGAGCAACGCCGCGUGAGUGAUGAAGGUCUUCGGAUCGUAAAACUCUGUUAUUAGGGAAGAACAAAUGUGUAAGUAACUAUGCACGUCUUGACGGUACCUAAUCAGAAAGCCACGGCUAACUACGUG
rnacentral:rRNA from 1 species